ensembl:lncRNA novel transcript
UUUUUUUUUUUUUUUUGAGAUGGAGUCUCGCUCUGUAGCCCAGGCUAGCGUGCAAUGGCACAGUCUCAGCUCACUGCAACCUCUGCCUCCUGGGUUCAAGUGAUUCUCGUGACUCAGCCUCCCGAAUAGCUGGGAUUACGAGUGCCCACCACCUUGCCCAGCUAAUUUUUGUAUUUUUAGUAGAGACGGGGUUUCGCCAUGUUGGCCAGGCUGGUCUCAAACUCCUGACCUCCGGUGAUCCACCCACCUCGGCCUCCCAAAGUGCUAGGAUUACAGGCGUGAGCCACCGUGUCCGGCCUACAAAUCCUUUCAAAACCUGGCUCCCCUGGUCUCUUUCAAGAAGGCCGCCAGCUUCAGACCCUCCUGCCCCUGCCUCUCCUGCUGCCCCACGUCGCUGUUCCUCAGCAGGUGUGUCUAGUAAAGAGUGCUGCGAACUGCCUUGCAGGUGUGUGGAUCCACCUGGGCACUGUCUCUGAGCACAGCCCCUCCUCCAGUUCACUGCGCCAAGCCAGAAACCUGGGUGCACCCUGACCCCUCCUGCUCUGCACCUGCUGUCUGCUUUCAGUCCCGGGUUGACCUGGUCUCCUUGAUCUCUGCUCCCCCUGCUCUUCCCCGUGCCCCACAGUGACCCUCGCCUGCUCCUCCGUCACGGGAUCAUUGCAGCAGCACUCUUCAUGCUCCUGGUCACUUCCUCCACAACCCCAGAGUCAUCUCAUAACAAGUCAGCCUGCCUUAACAGUUUCCAUGUCACACAAACAGCUUGAGAGAGGCUGUGCAACUCACCCACAGCAGCCGCGAUCUGGGCCUCCUCCUAUGUUCCCCUGUUCAGACCCCUGCUCCAUGAACUGGGCGGACCCAUGUCCACUAAAGUGCUGAGGAAGUGACAGCGUGUGAUUUCUGAGGCUAGAUCAUAAAGGGCACAGCAGUUCUCACCUCACUCUUCUGCCUGGGUUACUGCAGAGUAAGCCAGCUACCAGUAAGCCACCCCAGCAACCCUUUGGAGAGGCAUGCGUGGAGAGCAGCCAAGGCCCUGGUGGUCCCCGGCCU